GAUGAACGCUGGCGGCGUGCCUAACACAUGCAAGUCGAACGGAAACUACGGACGGAAGUCUUCGGAUGGAGGACUGUACUUCUUAGUGGCGGACGGGUGAGUAACGCGUGGUCAACCUGCCCUCUACAGGGGGAUAGCAGCUGGCAACUGCUGGUAACACCGCAUAAGUCGGCGCGACCGCAUGGUGUUGCCGGGGAAUGAGCAAUCAGGUAUAGGAUGGGGCCGCGUGCGAUUACCCAGUUGGCAGGGUAAAAGCCUACGAAAGGAACGAUCGGUAGCCGGGCAGAGAGGCAGGGCGGCGACAUUGGGACGGAGAAGCAGCGGGAAAUUUUACGGGAGGGAGGAGUGGGGGAUAUAGCGAAAUGGAGGAAGCGAUGAAGCAGCGAGGCUGGGUAAGUGAAGAAGUAUGUCGGUAUGUAAAGCUCUAUCAGAAGGGCAGAGGAUGACGGUACCUGAAUAAGAAGCCCCGGCUAACUACGUG
rnacentral:rRNA from 1 species